rnacentral:rRNA from 1 species
AUUGAACGCUGGCGGCAUGCUUUACACAUGCAAGUCGAACGGUAACAGGUUAAGCUGACGAGUGGCGAACGGGUGAGUAAUGCAUCGGAACGUGCCCGAUCGUGGGGGAUAACACUUCGAAAGAAGUGCUAAUACCGCAUACGAUCUGAGGAUGAAAGCGGGGGACCGUAAGGCCUCGCGCGAUCGGAGCGGCCGAUGUCAGAUUAGGUAGUUGGUGGGGUAAAGGCUCACCAAGCCGACGACCUGUAGCUGGUCUGAGAGGACGACCAGCCCAACGGGGACUGAGACACGGCCCAGACUCCUACGGGAGGCAGCAGUGGGGAAUUUUGGACAAGGGGCGCAAGCCUGAUUCAGCAAUGCCGCGUGCAGGAAGAAGGCCUUCGGGUUGUAAACUGCUUUUGUACGGAGCGAAAAGGCUCUCUCUAAUACAGGGGGCUCAUGACGGUACCGUAAGAAUAAGCACCGGCUAACUACGUGCCAGCAGCCGCCGUAA